CAAAGUGUCCAUUCAUUGCCUUUCCGUUUUAAACCCACGGCCAUAACCUAGUCUAUACAAAACAUAUCUGGAGCGCUUAUUCACUCGGACAUUCUUUUUACUGACACCUUUUUUUAAUUUUAAAUGAAAUCUCUUCAAUGCUGUGGAUCUGCUUGCCAAUGCGCUAAAGGGUUUGUUUGGACGGGAUUAUGUAUGUACGUAAAUAUAGGAACAUAGAGCCAUUGUGCUUGAAAACUGGCUUUAUUCCACCUCUGGAAUGUCGUUAAUCUGUUUGGGAACUUUAAUAUUGAUUACGACUGCUUUGCUCUCGUCUGUCAAAUGUAUUAUCAGUAGAGGUGGUGAACUGCGCUUAGCAAUGGGUAUUUGAUGAAUGUGCUUAGACCGAAAGCUUCAGCCUUCAUUGUCAGCGAAGUCUUGAGCCAACUGUGUUCAUCAGAGGAAUGAUGCAACGGAGCUGUAACAAGGAGCGGAUCCGCUGUUAGCAAGAGCACAGAGGCUGAAGAUAAUUGGUCUUUUGCUGCUGUAACAUUUUAGCAAGACACAACCAGAAAAUAAA